UUGAGGCCUUGCAGGCUGCAAAGCAGCAUUGAUCAUGCAAGGCCGACUUGCCGCCGAACACAGUGAGGGGGCGUUACCAAAA
rnacentral:sRNA from 12 species